GCCUAGCCCUGAUAGCAGUGAAAAUCCUUUAAUUCUGAACCUUUUCAGAAUUAAAGAUUGAAGCGAAUAGCAGGAAUAAGC
rnacentral:sRNA from 1 species